rnacentral:rRNA from 1 species
GCCUAAUACAUGCAAGUCGAGGGGCAGCACGGGUAGCAAUACCUGGUGGCGACCGGCGCACGGGUGCGUAACGCGUAUGCGACCUACCUUUAACAGGGGGAUAGCUCCGAGAAAUCGGGAUUAAUACCCCAUAGUAUUAUUUUGUGGCAUCACAUGAUGAUUAAAGUUCCGACGGUUAAAGAUGGGCAUGCGUGCCAUUAGCUAGUUGGUGAGGUAACGGCUCACCAAGGCAACGAUGGCUAGGGGUUCUGAGAGGAUUAUCCCCCACACUGGUACUGAGACACGGACCAGACUCCUACGGGAGGCAGCAGUAAGGAAUAUUGGGCAAUGGACGCAAGUCUGACCCAGCCAUGCCGCGUGCAGGAAGACAGCCUUAUGGGUUGUAAACUGCUUUUGUCAGGGAAUAAACCCCCGGUCGCGCACCGGGGCUGAAGGUACCUGAAGAAUAAGCACCGGCUAACUCCGUGCCAGCAGCCGCGGUAAUACGGAGGGUGCAAGCGUUAUCCGGAUUUAUUGGGUUUAAAGGGUGCGCAGGCGGGUUUGUAAGUCAGCGGUGAAAUCCCACGGCUCAACCGUGGAACUGCCAUUGAUACUGCAGGCCUUGAGUGUAUUUGAAGUGGGCGGAAUGUAGCAUGUAGCGGUGAAAUGCAUAGAUAUGCUACAGAACACCAAUUGCGAAGGCAGCUCACUAAACUACAACUGACGCUCAUGCACGAAAGCGUGGGGAUCAAAC